rnacentral:lncRNA from 1 species
GAAGAUAAGGUGGGUGGGGAAAUAGUGUGAGAAUGUGAAGGUAAAAAGUCUCACAUUGGAAAGUUAGAAAACUUUGCAAUGGCUUAUAAGGAGUUGGGUUACUCUCCCCAUUUCCAAUUAGUUUUGGGGUAGAACCUCAACUUUCUUCAUGGCAUCAGAGCAAGUUGACCACGUGUUAAAGCCCAAUGACCACAUGUGCUCCAUGUCACCCAAAAUGUGUUGUGCACGUGUUAGGCUUGAAAAUUGGCCACACGAGUGGGGGCGUGCGAGAAUGUGAAGGUAAAAAGUCCCACAUUAGAAAGGUAGAAAACCUUGCAAGGGCUUAUAAGGAUUUGGAUUACUUCUCCCAUUGCAAAUUGGUUUUAUGGUGGAAUCUCAACUUCCUUCAAAUAGGACAGGGAGGUGAAAAUAGCAGCACUCAAAAGAAAAUACGUAUGGUUAUUUAGCCUUAAUAAUGGAUAAUUAGUCCUUUAUUAAAAUUUUAGAUAAACCAAUUAGAAUUUUGUCUAGUUGUAUUUUCAAAAAGAGAGAGAUUGACUACCAAAAAAAAACAUAAAGAGAAUGAGAUAAUAUUUCGGUUAGAUUUUACAAAAAUGAAAUUAUAUUAUUCAUUUCCUUUUUUUUAAUUUUAAAUUCAUUCUCUUGUAACCUUUCACAAUAUCAUGUCAAGUGCUAGUCCCAUAAAGGAAUGUUGUGAGUGUGGGAAAGUAUUUGUAUACACCCAUUACAUUUUAUUUUUCUAAUUUCGCAAAAGCAAAACAACACAAGACUUCUCAACAGGCCUCAUGUAGGAGUGCGUGUGCGCACGCAAGCAUACAUACAUUGUCUAGUAGGGGCGCUCGUCCUCGGGCUGGUACAUGGGAUCGUAGCUGCAAACCACAUAGUUCUGUCCAUUGUUGCACUUUGAAAUGCCACAUCCGACCUCGGUGGUUUUGCCCCAUACCACAGCAAGGUAGUGACCACAUUCGUCUCUGACGCAUUUGUUGGACUUUUCGUCAUAGAACUCCUUCUCAGUGACCCAAUACUUGGUGGCCGCUGCGCCACUCAUGCCGUCACCGGAGGCCAAGUUCUCACCCCAACGCCCCAUCGAGUGCUCCAUGGCACAGUCGCCAACUCUUUUAUCCGCAUAUUCUUGGGCAUACUGGGCCAAGGUCGUAUUCCACUUGAGGGGUUUGUUGCCGACCUCUUUACGAGCCUUGUUGUGCUCCUCGACGAAGCCAUCGAUCUCUUCUUUAGAAAUGUUUGCAAAUACAAGAGUGAAGACCAAGGCGACGCAGCAAAUGGCCAAAAGAAGCUUCGUGUUGAACGCCAUUUUUGUUUCUUGAUAUGAGAAGUUUAAGGUCUUUUCUUUGUAGUAGAGAAGGUUGGAUUGUUAGAUGUUGAUUGAAAGGGGGCAUGGGAUUGUGCAUAUUUAUAGAGACACAGGCAAGUUUGUGUCCGCAAAGAGGGUCUUCGAAAAUAGGCCCUUAAAAAUGGGAGGGCUGAAUAUUAUUUUUUUGGAUUCUAUAGAUUGCCAUAGAGGAGGGGCCAAAUAAAGAAAAGAAAGAAGAGAUCCAUAGAAAUUUGUGGUGUCAAAUCUUUUGGGCUUGGAAUGCGUCCACACCAAGUUUUACUCACAAUAAGGAGGGAAGACAAUUUCUUGGGUGAGUUUCCUUUUUUUUUUUCCCUUAAAAAAGUAAGUUCUUCUUUUCUGUUUUUCUUUUCUUUUCUUCUUUUCAGCUGAACUAGUUUUUUUUUCUUUCUUUUUCUUUUUCGAAUGGAUAAGAUUGAAAGAAGAAUUAACAGGGUAGAACACUAUUGGGUGUCGUGAGUAAUAUGUCUUUUGUUUUUCCUUCAGUUGUGUCUGUUUUUCCUCAUGACUUAGUUGGCCUCCUUUCUCCGUUUUUGGUGUCACGCGUUUCUAAUUUAGCCAUAUUCUUUUUUAUAAGAAUUCACUCGUGUUUUUUUUUUCCCUAAUGAACAAUCUCAUGUUAUAAUGUACGUUUAUUUAUUAAUAUUAUAUCAUCGGAUGCAAAGGAUUUGUAACUCAAAUAAUUUAGAGGUCCUAAGUUCGAUUCGACCUUCCCUCAAUAUGACUUGUAUAAAUAAAAAAUAAAAAAAUAAAUAUCAUAAGAUAUAAAUUUGUUGUCCACUUACAUCAAUUUCUAAUGUUACAGUGACCAAAAAAAAAAAAAAACACUUUCUUCAAUUUUUUAUAAUCUUAAUGGUUUUUUGAGUUACUUGUGUCUCUACUAGUGAACUGUUACUUUUUUUUCUUUUUCUUUUUUAUAGAAAUAUCGGCUCCAAAAUCUCUACCCUCGUCAAAGCUAUUGCACAUAUUUAGUUUUCGUGACCAAUCUAUUUCGUCACCCAUUCUGAAAAUAACCAAACCAACUAACAUAUUCGACAAAUAAACUACAUCUUUCACGACCAUAACAUUCAUUGCUGAAAUGUUCUGGCGACCAAACAUUUAUUUCAUCGCCAAAUAAUUCCAUGUUCACGGGAAUUUUUGGUAUUUUGGCAGCAACUCAGACUCGAUGGCGACCAACUUGGAGCUGUAUAGUGACGACAAAUUUAGUCGCUAAAAUAUUUUAGCGACAAAAUUUUGUUUCGUCACAUGGUAUCUUUAGCCACGAGCUUUCAACGACGACCUUAGAGACCAAAAAUAUUUGUCGCUACUUAUAUUUGGCGACGAAAUUUGGUGUUAUAGUGACCAUCUUGUUUCGUCACUAAAAAGGAUUAUCCUUGUAGUGGUUCUUUCUUUCUGGAAGCUGAUAAAUAAACUCUGUGCCUUUUGAAAUCAAAUUAUCAUGGGAUAUUUCAUUAGUGUUAUUAGUUUUAGGGAAAUAUGUUACUUGAAUUACUUUCUCAGCAAGUGAUUGGUGGGGGCAAAAACUCAUAAAACGGUUCAAUUUCCUCCUCCUGAGUUUGACAGCGUGGAGACAACUAAUUAUUUUCCUCUGGCGACCAGUUGCUGUCUAUUGGCAAUCGGUCGCUGUCUAUUGGCGACCGGUCGUUUUGAAGCAUGUUUUUCGUGUUUGAAGAACUAAGGGGGGAGACCGGUCGCUUUCCACUGGCAACCAGUCGUUUUGAAGCUGAGUGACAUCCUAUGGAAAAAAAUCAAAAAUUUGAGGAGGGGUGGAUUCUCGAUUCUCCUCUUGUACUGCUGAAAAAUAUAAGACAUGUUCCCGAAACACAACAUCCAUAGAGGUAUAGACCUUCUGACUAGGAGGAUGAUAACACCAGUAUCAUUCCUUAUGAGGUGCAUAGCCAAUGAAACCACACUUUUCAGCUCGGUGAUCCAAUUUGCUUCAUUAAUGAUCAUGUAAGUGGACAAAUACAACAUAGACGAAAUUCGGGGUUCCAGGUUUGGGGUGGGAGGUAUUUGGAUAUGGUAGUGUUUGAAGUGGCGUUUGAAAAUUUAGGAUACUAGAGGGAAUUUGAUUGAUGAGGUAUGCCACAGAGACGAUGGCUUCACCCCAAAAAGGUCGUGGCAUAUUGGCACCAAAGAGAGAGGCACGAACUACUUCUAAUAAUUGUAUGUUCUUUCUUUCAACCACUUCAUUUUGUUGAGAAGUGUAGGGGCAUGAGCGUUGAUGUAUGAUGUCAUGAUCUUGUAAGAACUGGUUAAGAGCAUGGUUGAGAAAUUCUCCGUCAUUCUCAUAACGAAGAACAUGAAUUAUGGCAUGAAACUGAGUCCCCACCAUUUGAUGGAACCGUUGAAACUUGGAACUGACUUCCCCUUUAGUUUUGAGAAUGGAAACCUAAAUCAUGCUUGUGCAAUCAUCUACAAACGUAACAAACCAUCGAGCUCCUGCCGGGGUGGCAAUUUUGGCAGGUUCACAAACAUCAGAAUGAACAAGAGAAAAUGGAACUAAACUCUUAUUUGAACUUAAUGGGAACGGGACAUGAUGGCUCUUAGCCAAUUCACACAUAUCACACUGGAAGCUAGAAACAUCAAGACUGUAAAAUAAUGAUCAAAACAACUUCUUAUGAUAACCGAACAAGGCAUGCACAAGACGUUUAUGUCAUAACCAAACUUUACCUCUCUCCCCUUUAGAACAAGUUCCAAUGGUUGUGAAAGCUUGACCAACCUUGGUCUCACUAUACGAUGCCCAUUCUAAGUAGUAGAGUUUGCCCCGCUGAGUACCACAACCAAUCAUCUUUCCCAGGAAGAUGUCCUGAAAAACACAAUGAUUCAGCCAAAAUGUUACAGUACACCCCAAAGUAGUAGUAAGUUGUGCAACAGACAACAAGUUAUGGUCCAAAGAUGGAACAAUCAAUACAGAAUCCAGAUGUAGGAAAGUAGAGAGAGAUAGAAAACCCUCAUCAACCACAGAGGAUGGGGUACCAUUAGCAUUUGACACCACCGACAGAGUGGAUGAUUUUCGACUAAUAAGUUGGCCAGGAUCAAAUGUCAUGUGAUCCGUAGCACCCGAGUUUGCUGAUUUUUUAGAGGACGUAUGAAAAGUAGAACCUUUGGUGGUGCGAUAGAAGCACGAGUUCGAGUAGCCGAGUCAGCAGGAGUGACCGCAUGCUUCUGUGAGUCUGCAAUAAGGGAGAAAAUAGUAAGGGGUCCUAACAUCGCAGUGGAAGUAAUAUGUGAUAUGAGUAUGUGAGGAAUUUGAUUGGAGGAAUGUGAUUGGAGGAAUUUGAUGUGUGAAUUUGAUGUAGAAAUUAGAUUUGAGAGGUAUGUGUUUGGGGAUUUUGAUAAGAGGAUUUGAGGACUUUAGAUUUGAGGGAUUUGGAUUUCGAGAAUUUAAAUAUGAGGAAUUUGAUUUAGGGUUUUGGAUUUGAAUAUGAGAAAUUUGAUGUAAGGGUUUAGAGACAACUUAUGAUCGAUUGCUCUGAUACCAUGCUAAAAUAUAAAUAUGGUUUGAAUACUUUAGGUUAAGUUUUAUUCUUCUCCGUAAAUAGGUAUAUAUAGGAGUUUACAUGAGUGCUUUACAAGAAAUAGAUACAGUAAUCAAGUAGAAUACUAUCUCGUAAUUAUACAAUCAUUUGUCAAUUAUAUAAAAUAAAAAAGUAAAUCCCUUAUUUAAUCAAGGAAAUAAAUUUCUUUGAUUAAUUAACAGACUCGCGUCAACAAAGACUGUGGUGCUACUCUUCUAGUAUAAAAUUUUGAUAUAUUUCUAUAAAAUUUGGUCUCGUUUCAAACAAAAAAAAAAAGAAGGGUAGAUUUUGUUUCCAAAGGUAAGAAAUUUUUUUAAUUUUUUUAAAUUCAAGAUAAAAUUAAAAAUUAAAAAUUAAAAAAAAACUCCAUCCUUGAAAUUUGAAUCAGGAAGUCUUUAACAAGUAAAAAUUAUACAAGCGAUUGUUUAAAUUAAGGAUCUUAAUAUAAUUUACGAAAAGCGACGAUGACACAUUAGCAUAUUACCACGGAAUGAGCAUACAAUGCGUUAUAAGUACUCAAUAUAAACUUUCUUAGCGCUGAAUUUUUUUUAAUUUUUCUCAAUAGAGUAAAAACGAACAUCAGAGCUAGAAAGGGUCAUCACAUCAAUAGUACAUUUGUUCACCACGUGAUGUUUUUCUCAACUUCAUCAGCUUGAUCAAAUGCCUUCCAAUUCUAGUAGGGACGCUCGCCCUCAUAAUUACCAGGAGGAUCGUAGCUGCAAAUGACAAAAACCCAAUUGUUGUCACACUUAGCCCUAGCACAACCAAGAUGAACCGAGUUCCUCUAAACCACCUGAGUAUAAUGCCCACAUUCAUCCCCAACACAUUUGUUGGAACCGUAGUUAGCAGCUGGAUUUUUUUCUUUCUUAGAGCAUUUUUACCCAUUUAUCAUGGUAAAAGUCUAGGGGAGACAAGGGCAAUUACUCUUCACGUGAAUAGUAUCUGCCCUAGCAAUUUUUUUGUUGUUUUUCCACCCAUUGUCAUGGCAAUCGAAGGACAAUUAGUAUUCACUUGAGAUUACUUUAAUUUGUAUGUAUGAGAUUAAUAAUAUAAAAAAAUCUAGGUAUGUAUAAAAAAAUAAUAUAUUCUCAAUUUUUUGUAAUUUUUCAAAAAAAAUUUUAGGCAACAACUCGAGUUGUUCUUGCUUGCUGGGCUUGAUUGAGUCCACGCCUUGCCUGGGUUGUUUUGUACCACUUGAGGAGCAUUUCUUGGCCUGGGCAACCUUUUGACAGGGUUGGACUUAUUUUAUUUGAAAUAAUAGUGGGCUACGGUAUUUUAGGAAUAAUGCUGGGUGAAAAGAUAGGAUUGUGUUUUAUCAAAUUUACAUGGUGGGAGGGAAGAUAAGGUGGGUGGGGAAAUAGUGUGAGAAUGUGAAGGUAAAAAGUCUCACAUUGGAAAGUUAGAAAACUUUGCAAUGGCUUAUAAGGAGUUGGGUUACUCUCCCAAUUUCCAAUUAGUUUUGGGGUGGAACCUCAACUUUCUUCAUGGCAUCAGAGCAAGUUGACCACGUGUUAAAGCCCAAUGACCACAUGAGCUCCAUGUCACCCAAAAUGUUUUGUGCACGUGUUAGGCUUGAAAAUUGGCCACACGAGUGGGGGCGUGCGAGAAUGUGAAGGUAAAAAGUCCCACAUUAGAAAGUUAAAAAACCUUGCAAAGGCUUAUAAGGAUUUGGAUUACUUCUCCCAUUGCAAAUUGGUUUUAUGGUGGAAUCUCAACUUCCUUCAAAUAGGACAGGGAGGUGAAAAUAGUAGCACUCAAAAAAAAAAU